CGCCUGGCAAUGGGCAGAGACACACUUUGUUGGUAGUGUUAUUCUCACAUCUGACAAGGGCAGAGGUGGCAGUCCUUUGUUCAUCCUAGCUUGAUGCCUGGCUUGGUGGCCAACGCUGCCUUAUGCCUAGGAUUCAUAA